rnacentral:rRNA from 1 species
GAGGAACGCUGGCGGCGUGCCUAAUACAUGCAAGUCGAGCGAACAGACGAGGAGCUUGCUCCUCUGACGUUAGCGGCGGACGGGUGAGUAACACGUGGAUAACCUACCUAUAAGACUGGGAUAACUUCGGGAAACCGGAGCUAAUACCGGAUAAUAUAUUGAACCGCAUGGUUCAAUAGUGAAAGACGGUUUUGCUGUCACUUAUAGAUGGAUCCGCGCCGCAUUAGCUAGUUGGUAAGGUAACGGCUUACCAAGGCAACGAUGCGUAGCCGACCUGAGAGGGUGAUCGGCCACACUGGAACUGAGACACGGUCCAGACUCCUAAGGGAGGCAGCAGUAGGGAAUCUUCCGCAAUGGGCGAAAGCCUGACGGAGCAACGCCGCGUGAGUGAUGAAGGUCUUCGGAUCGUAAAACUCUGUUAUUAGGGAAGAACAAAUGUGUAAGUAACUAUGCACGUCUUGACGGUACCUAAUCAGAAAGCCACGGCUAACUACGUG